rnacentral:rRNA from 1 species
AGUAUGAGAAGAUCUUGAAACCUAAAAUAUUUGGCGGUUUUUUAGUCCAGUUAGAGGAAUUUGCUUUUUAAUCGAUGGUCCUCGUUAGAUUUUACUUUUUUUUUAAAUAUCUCCGUCGACGACAGGUCAAGAUUUAGCUGAUAAAGAAGAUGAAAAAGGAUUUAAAAGUAGAUAGUGUUAAGUUGGGCGCUAGAAAAUGU